rnacentral:rRNA from 1 species
UACGUAGGUGGCAAGCGUUGUCCGGAUUUACUGGGCGUAAAGAGCGCGCAGGCGGUCGUUCAAGUCGCGUGUGAAAGCCCCCGGCUCAACUGGGGAGGGUCACGCGAUACUGAUCGACUCGAAGGCAGGAGAGGGUAGUGGAAUUCUCGGUGUAGCAGUGAAAUGCGUAGAUAUCGAGAGGAACACCGGUGGCGAAGGCGAGUCCCUGGAAACACCUGACACUGAGGCACGAAAGCUAGGGGAGCAAACAGG